rnacentral:rRNA from 1 species
UACGUAGGCAGCAAGCGUUGUUCGGAGUUACUGGGCGUAAAGGGUGUGUAGGCGGUUCUUUAAGUUUGGUGUGAAAUCUCCCGGCUCAACUGGGAGGGUGCGCCGAAUACUGAGGGACUAGAGUACGGGAGAGGAAAGUGGAAUUCCUGGUGUAGCGGUGAAAUGCGUAGAUAUCAGGAGGAACACCGGUGGCGAAGGCGGCAUCCUGGACCGGCAUUGACGCUGAGGAGCGAAAGCCAGGGGAGCAAACGGG